UACAGAGGGUGCAAGCGUUGUUCGGAAUUAUUGGGCGUAAAGCGCGUGUAGGCGGCUUAGCAAGUCGGGCGUGAAAGCCCUCGGCUCAACCGAGGAAGUGCACCCGAAACUGCUGAGCUUGAGUGCCGGAGAGGAUGGCGGAAUUCCCCAAGUAGAGGUGAAAUUCGUAGAUGUGGGGAGGAACACCGGUGGCGAAGGCGGCCAUCUGGACGGUAACUGACGCUGAGACGCGAUAGCGUGGGGAGCAAACAGG
rnacentral:rRNA from 1 species